UUCAGAUGGCAAAUUAUGAAAAGAUUACGAAAAGUACAAUUUGAUUGUAAGAACAUUCAAUGGUGUAUGUUAACGAUGCACAGGUUGAGAUUUUUAUUAAAAUGUCAAUAAAAAUCUCAACCUGUGCAGCGUUAAAAUACAAAAGUAAGAUAUAAAAAUACAUACUGUGCAUCGUUAAAAUACAAAGUAGAUUUUUAAAAGAUUUCAAAAAUUUUUAAAGACUGCUGGGUUAUCAUUGACAAAAAUCCAAUAGAGGAAGAAAAAUUGAUAGAUGGAUGUAUUACCACUGUGAUGGCUUACGAUAUUGAAGAUAGAAAUGCUGAUCAGCAUAUCGCUUUUUUACUUCAUCGUUAAAGAAGAUAGACAAUCAAAUCUAGUUGCAUGAAAUUAAAAAAGCCUAGAUGGUUAUUCAAUGUUGACUGUGAUUGUAAUGGCGUAAGAGACGAAAACGGAUCGUCUGGUGCGUUGUCAUUUACAUCGAUAACAGGGUGUUGGUUAACAUCACUCUUUUAUCUGUAAAAGACGAUGCACCGUUUCUUGAUAUAUCUUCCAUUGUUUGCGAUGAAAACAAGCUGCACGAUAAUGGAGCUAAAGCACGAGAUUCUGACGAGAAUGGUUCGCCAUUCGAAUUCCGAAUUGAUGUCAGUGCUGAUGAUGAAAUCAGAUCCAAGUUCGAUAUUCGAGGAAAUUCUCUACAUGCGCUAGCUGGAGAUUAAUCGCGAAGAGCGGAAGAGCUACACUAUAUCGAUCGCGAUCAGGCAGCGGUAUGUCUUCUAUGAUAGGUAUCUUGACAUUCCCUGUUAUCAAUAGGUGAUGAAAAUGCAAUCCCAUGCAAGAAGGUCUCGAAGUCUAUAGAUGGCAUACUUUGCUGUCGAGUACAUCGAAUGAUACCUUUGUAUUGAAAUUUACUAUUUCGUAUUCACCAAUACCAGCACGUUUGUCGAUGUAGAGUGACAAACGUGCUGGUAUUGGUGUAUAUGAGAUAUGCUGAGCCACUAUGCACUUGCUAUGCACCAUAAACUUUACUAUAAUUAUGUCACGAGUGACUAUAUGAACACUUUAUAUGAAUCCCGUUUAUUCGGGAAAGUGAUGCGUAUCUUAUAUUGAUCCUUAAGAUGAAUUUUUAUAUUGUGUCGAUAAAAAACUUAUCGCGUUUAUGUUAUCAUUUUACACUAGAAGUAAUAUAUAUGUAAUAAGUGGGAGAAGAGAAAGAAUAGUGCGUUCACUGUACGUUGCACGAAUAUAAACAUUAAAAGUUCUGGAUUAUCGUAUUCUCGUUGUAUGUAUUUCGACGGGUUGUUGAACAAUCUACAUUUCCAUAUGUUAGGCGAUCUUUUCGUUUUU